UCCUGAACCAAACAUCCCAUUAGACCGACGCGUCACGCAUAGCACGUGAUUUUUUUUCCACUCAAAAGACAAGGCACAUGAUUUAGAUUUAAUUUUUCCUUAAAUUAAGGAUUUAUACCGACCCUAAAAAAAGGACUUAGACUGAUCCAGCGGAUCGUGGCGGCGUGCAACGGCGACAAGAGAUUUGGGGGAGGAAGAGGCCGUCGAUGACACUUGUACGGCGACCCGGAUCAGGUGCUGGCGGCGGAGGAGGGCGUGGAUGGCAGAGAAGAACAAUCGGAGUGGCGGCGCAUCGUGGAUGCGAUCCGCGAUUGAGUACGAUACCAAGCAGGAGGUUGUCCAGAUUCGACAUCGACGAGGGGUACAGUACCUAGCGCCUCCUCGGUGAUCGCCGUCGCCGGAGUGCCAUGCGGGCGUCGUCGUCGCGGCUCCGAGUUUCAGGCCAGCUGUCCAGUUCGCUCGACGAUGCAGACGUACAGUCCACAGCGGAGAACGACAGCGGGCAGAAAACAACAGACAUGAAAAUCAAGAUUGAUUGAUUGUAUCUGACUAUCUGUUAUCGCGAGCCCAGCGAUCUGAAGGUCAUAACACGUACAUACUCCCUCCGUCCGGAAAUACUUGUCGGAGAAAUGCAUAAAAAUGAAUGUAUCUAAAACCAAAAUAUAUCUAGAUACAUCCAUUCCUCCGACGAGUAUUUCCGACGGAGGGAGUAUAUGAGAGUGCCCAAUCCGUCCAUAUCGUCGUCGCCCUAUCUCUACCGGAGACAAUGGCCACUUCAGUGUCCACAAGGAUCAUCAAUGGACAUAGAAGAUGAAAUGAAUGGGAAAAAGGCGCCCAGAGCAUUCUGUUCUGAUUUUUGUUCUCGUUUGUUCAAUUUCUUACUUCCUCUCUCUCUCUGUCUCUCGCAGGCAGCAAACAAUGUGACAUGGUUCCCUGCAAGCACAGAUCAUACGGUCAGCAUUCAUCAAAAGAAAACUGGAAAAUCAUUUCAGUUGCUUACAAUCUUUAGAUUUUUUCCCCAUGUUACAAAACAAAGUCAGGAAAGAAAAAUCAAUGUAAAACCCUCACCCAAACUUACUUGACUACUAAGGCUUGAGUUAAGUUUUUUUUUUUGGCAUCCAUUCUUGGUAGACGUCGGAAUUGUGCCCUUCCCUGCAAGCCAGAACUUGAAGUCAGAAUUCAACAACAAAAAAUUUAUGCUGAAAAGGAUCAUUAGAUGAUUAAUUGGGAUACUACAGAGGUAAGCACAAGUGAGAACAAACACACACACAUACUUGAGAAAUUAUAUUAUUAAAAGAAUAAAAGGACAGAAAAUGACCUCUAGAUGUGAAACAAAAACAGUUUACAAAUUUAGAGAUUGAAAUAUAAUAAUUAGUUGUAAACUGAUAGAGCUGUCUUGUAGAAAAUCUCUAUGAUGAUUUUAUCAUAUAGUAGCAUGUUGCAUCUGAGAAGGCGAGUCUCAUAUUGAUUUGAAAGAAACACAAUCUGCUACCGCUCAUAAUAGGUUUGGUCGACAGGUCGAGCCUAGCUCGGACCAACUAGGGGCGUUAUAAUUAAUCUAACAACCUUUCAAACAACUAGGCACAGUAGAAACUAAUGGAAAAAUAUUGAGAUAUUGAUCAAAGGGAUAAAACUUCUUAUUGAAAGUUCCCCCAUCUGGCAUGGUCUUUAAAUAUAUUUUUGCUACAGUGUUUGGUAAAAACCUGACUUGAAAAUGAAUAGUUUAUAAAGUUAGAGAUUGAAAAUGUAAUAAUAGUGACAAUGCUAUUGAUAGAACUGCACUGCAGAAACUACCUAAAAUAGUUUUAUCAUACAGUAGCAUACUGCAUUUGAAAAGGCAGUUUUCUCAUUGAUUCAAAAGAAACACAAUAGGCUACCAGUUAUAAUAGGUUUGAUCGACAUGUAUUCUUAAGUCUGACUCCAGUACAACUAAAUCAUGACCUACUCUCCUUUUCUAAUUAUAAUUAUCUUAAACUCAUAGCGCUCUCUAAGACACACAUUAGUUUUAUAAAACACAAAAAGUUGAGAAGUGAGGCUGCCCUUUUCAGCAAAUGUUCAGUUAGUUCUGUACCUCUUUAGUCGAGCUCAGUAAUGCAUAAAGAAACUCCUAUGUGAUCCACAACACUCUCGUAUGUGGGAAAGCCUGGCACCGGUGUGAACUUUUCCUGUCCACGCAAAACCCGUUUGCAGUUAAUCUUCCAGUUUGUGACGAUAUAACUGAAAGACUUCCAACCUGGUUGACCCUCUAGUUGCUCAAUAUCAUCAACUGGCACAUUUUCGCCACUGUUAAACCCAAACAUAAUGUGCCGUGAUAGGGAUGGGAAACGUGUAGCUUCUGAUACUGUAGCUAUUGUUCUGGAGAGACCAAUUUUCACCUCUUCAAUGUCAAUUGUUCCAUAGCUUGUAAUAGCACUGAGCGUCUCCUCCUGUCCAUAUAAACCAGUCCUGAGAUUGAAGUAAUCUGGCUUCAAAUCAUUGUAAUUGCACUUGAAUGUAAGUUCUCUGGACCACUGAGAAGAAGCUGCCUUAUCGACUCCAGCCAAUCUGGUACCUUUGAAUAGCUGCCAUAUAUUGUCAUGCAGAAAUCCAUCAAGAUACAGGCUCUUUAGUCGGAAUAGGAACUUUGCUGGCUUAUGCUUGCGUCUAUCCUCUGCCGGAUGCAUCACAAUGAUGAAAUACUUUGUUUCUCCCAUUGGCAGCAUGCUGGUUCUAUGUAUAUGCUGCUGUUCCCCACGGUCAGUUUGAAUAGGGUUUGCAUGGCCCGCAUACUGAGACACGCCAUUGUUUUCCCUGGCAGACUCAUGGUUGAUGAGGAGUUUAAUUUUGCUCAACAUUUUCUGAUAUGAGCAAACCAUCUUCUUUGUAUUAUUGCUUAAUCUAAAAUCUAUAUGUGGCACAUUCUGCAAAAUCAAGUACCAAAUGAUGAUAAGACAGUAAUUAAUUUUUUCCAUUGUAAGAUUUGCAAAUUAUAAUGAAGUGAAAUAUGAGAAACAUGACAGGAUGAUAUGCCCAGGGAAAAUCUAAUAAUGAAAAGACAAUAAUCAUAGACCUGUGGGGUUUACUCAGAUGUUAAGCAAUAGUACAACAAUCAAAAAUCAAAUUAUAGUAGGCAAUAAUCAAAUAUACUUUUGUUAAAUCAUAGCAUUGUUUGCAUAUGUGUUUAGGCGGGACAAUAAAAGUACAUCGAUGAUGUAGCAUUCUAAUCACUACAGGGGCUUAUAGAUACCUACCUCUAUGCAUGAAAAAGAACCGCUUAAACUUAAAACAAUAGAAACAACAUUGGGUUCUAUAUGCAGAUUAUGCGUCUUUGGGGCAUUCUCUUAAUAAUUUUCUUUCAUUGGAUAGGAAUACCAUCUAAAAGUGUUCAUAUAACAUCCACUGUAUUCUUUUGUAUGGAUAAAUAUUGGUUUGCUAUUUUGUACACGCUCAAGAAGAUUAGUAGAUGUAGUGGUGGUAGCUGCAUUGCACAUAGAUUGUUUCGUAUGGCGGUCCAUGUUCUCUGAUGGAUAAUCCAAAUUUAUUUCUGUUCAAAUGUAUUCUACAGUUUCACAAUAUUCACAUUUGUAUGGUUGACAUAUUCACUACCAUGCUGCCUUAUAGUACAUAUCAGUCGCACGUCCAGACGCUCACCAACGAAUAUGUGCCUAUGCAACUUUUUUGCAGCACCAACAAACUGCACAUCACUUUUUCAAGCUCGCUAGAUAGCCAAUGAUUGCAAUUUGAUUAUAUCAGUUACAGAGGAAUUUAUGUUCUUAGGCUAUUGUUCUGUUCAUGCCACAAAUCUGCGCCACCAUGAUUGUUGUUGUAGUUUCCAUAUCUCUAUUUUCCCAACAACCUCUCAUAAUCCUUUACUUUCUGCCUUCCAGUGGGGCAAAUAUUCUUUAUAUUUAGAAGACGAAAUAAAGCUAGAAUUCAAUUUUUUGUCCUCCAUCAGAUCAUAUUUGUAUAGAGCAGGGUACUGCAGCUAAUUCUUACCGUUCAACAAUCUGAGCACAUGCUUCAUACAAAUUGCACUAAUUCUACCGUACCCCAGAAAUAUUACUAAGAAGCAACAUGAUUUAUAAUAGUUCAAAAUAUAUUUGAAAUCCUUAUAUAGGUGAACAUAACUGAAAUGACUUCACUGUCAAAAUCACUGACUUGCUCAAAACCUUUGAUCGAAAUAUGUAUUGCAUUCCCAAACACUUUAUUAGAAUUCCUUUUAUCAACUAAUAAAGAACAUCACAUGGAACAUCCUCGGAUACAUUUCAGUGUAUUUGCCUUCCCAAAAACACUACAAUAUAACUCCUUUUAUCAACUACUAAAGAAUCUGACAUAUUGCCGAUGGAACAUGUGUGGAUGCAUUUCAGUAAAGUCGUUCGUGAAAGCCAAUCAAGAUAGAACAUGUGAAUUAAGCGCGACCAUUGCAAUGUUGCUUGACGCAACAAGCACAAUUAAAAGUAAUGAUGUUUUUCAAGAAAAAGAACUAACAAUAAUGAUAAGGCAAACUUGGUCUCAUGAACUGUAAUGGAUAACCAAUGCAAACUAUUGCAUAAUUUUAUCAUCAUGUCUCAGGUAUUCCGAAGAUCUCCCUACCCCUCGCAUGUCAUGUGGCCAGUUAAGUAACUUUUGUAGCAUAUACAGGACAAUUGCUAAAACAUGAGCCCGUGUAAAUAGAUUUUCAUACCCGGAAGAGAGGGUUUAUGUCGCCCCCUUCCAUCUGAUUCCGUCCGCAGCAGUUGCGGCCCUUCCCCUCUUUGGUGGGCCUGAGGCUGCAGACACAACAAAAAUUAAUAGGAUUGUCAUUAGGCCGCACUACCAUGGGGCUAGGCCCAAGAGCAUUCUUAAUUAAUGAAGGCAGUUCGAGUAAUUUGGUGGGUAUCGGGUCUGGCUAAACAGAUUGCCGAACGAGACAUAAAACCCCCAAGAUAAAUCGCGCGAUUAAUUGUCCUAAAAACCACCCCUUGAACCCGACCCGGUUCACACUAAAAAGGUUUAGAAAGACAUCAGAAAAAGGGCAGACACGGAUCGGAGGUCGAGAGAUUAAAACCCCAGUAUAAAUCACGAAGAAUUACCCAAAAUGCGACCCCAGAACCACCCCGGAGCCAACGCGGACCGCACCCAGAAAAAAAGGUCGGAAGAAGCAGACACAGAUGGGAGGUGGAGAGCGAGAUCGGGGACGGCGUGCUCACGGCGGAGUCGCAUUGAUGAUCGGAGGCGGGAGGAGGCGGGUUCCGGCGCGUUGGGGGGCGGGGCAGGGCGGAGAUUGCGGUGGAAGGGGGCAGCUCGUCGCGUGCUCCUGCUCUGCCUUCCUUGAGCGAGAGGGGGUUUGGCUUGCUGGGGGUUUUGCUCCAUCGUCCGUUUCGUCCGAUCGAACGGCUUAAAAUCGUUUGUGCAGGCCCCGAAUGCACAGAAGAGAGCAGCUGGCACUCACGCUUUCAUGAGCAGCUUAGCAGUCAUCCCCUUUUGUUUUCUCUCUCUUGCUCCUCCCGUUCAGAGUGCCAAAAGUUUAAAGUUGUGAUGUUAAUUUGAAUUUCUUCUGAUAUCAAAUAUUCCCUUCAUCCAAAUAGGCCUACAUGUUUUCAAGGUUGACUUUGACCACCGGUUAGAGGAAUAAUAUAUGAUGUGUGUGUUACAAAAAUGUCCUAUCAAAUUCGUAUGUUAAAAGAGUUUCUAAUGAUAUAAUUUUUUAUACCAUAAACCUCAUAUAUUAUCAAUCUUAUGAAUGGUCAAAGGGCCAAGUGCACGGGCUCUCAUUUGCGCAUGGUCCGGAGAAGGUCCUGAACGCUUUUGGUCUUUUUACGCAGUUUUUUUCUACAUUUCUGCAAGAGGUUAUUUUCAGAAAUUGAACUCCUGACCUCAUUGUCACAAGGCUAACAACUUUACCACUGCAUCAAGGCUCCCCUUCUAUCAAUGGUGGAGUAGUGCUUCAUCUUACACAUUGAUUAUGGCGGAUCUCUGUGGCGUGGCGCAGUGGAGACUCGACGCCCGAUAUGCGGAGAUGGACUCACGCAGGAGGAGGACGCUGCCUGGCGUCGAUGGCAGAGAGGCCUGGUAAGGUCAAUACAUCAGUAUCUGCUCUGAAGAUGGAUCGAUGGAAGACGGUGUCGACAACCUAUGAGAGUGCAUCAGACAGAUUUGUGCCCCAGACCUGAUGUCUGGCUUGGUUGGGGCUUCCGGCUUUAGAUGUUAGGCUUAGGUGAGAGGUCUGGGUAUUUGGCUCACUUUUUGCACCCCUUCAUCAAUGGAUAGCAGUAGCAAUAGAUGUUGCCAAGAUGGCGGCUUCAGACAUAUUGAUGUAUUACUUGUGAGGUCGUUGUAAUAAUUAAUAAAGUGACUGCAUGCAUCUCCCAAAUGCAGAGGCAGGGGGUCAUCCUCCUUUAAAAAAAA